GCAAGUCGAGCGGACUUAAUGGAGCUUGCUCCAUCAAGUUAGCGGCGGACGGGUGAGUAACACGUGGGCAACCUGCCUGUAAGACUGGGAUAACUCCGGGAAACCGGAGCUAAUACCGGAUAGUAUCUUGAACCGCAUGGUUCAAGUUGGAAAGACGGUUUCGGCUGUCACUUACAGAUGGGCCCGCGGCGCAUUAGCUAGUUGGUGAGGUAAUGGCUCACCAAGGCAACGAUGCGUAGCCGACCUGAGAGGGUGAUCGGCCACACUGGGACUGAGACACGGCCCAGACUCCUACGGGAGGCAGCAGUAGGGAAUCUUCCGCAAUGGACGAAAGUCUGACGGAGCAACGCCGCGUGAGUGAUGAAGGUUUUCGGAUCGUAAAACUCUGUUGUUAGGGAAGAACAAGUGCGAGAGUAACUGCUCGCACCUUGACGGUACCUAACCAGAAAGCCACGGCUAACUACGUGCCAGCAGCCGCGGUAAUACGUAGGUGGCAAGCGUUGUCCGGAAUUAUUGGGCGUAAAGCGCGCGCAGGCGGUUUCUUAAGUCUGAUGUGAAAGCCCCCGGCUCAACCGGGGAGGGUCAUUGGAAACUGGGAAACUUGAGUGCAGAAGAGGAGAGUGGAAUUC
rnacentral:rRNA from 1 species